AGUGAACGCUGGCGGUAGGCCUAACACAUGCAAGUCGAACGGCAGCACAGUAAGAGCUUGCUCUUACGGGUGGCGAGUGGCGGACGGGUGAGGAAUACAUCGGAAUCUACUUUUUCGUGGGGGAUAAUGUAGGGAAACUUACGCUAAUACCGCAUACGACCUACGGGUGAAAGCAGGGGAUCUUCGGACCUUGCGCGAUUGAAUGAGCCGAUGUCGGAUUAGCUAGUUGGCGGGGUAAAGGCCCACCAAGGCGACGAUCCGUAGCUGGUCUGAGAGGAUGAUCAGCCACACUGGAACUGAGACACGGUCCAGACUCCUACGGGAGGCGGCAGUGGGGAAUAUUGGACAAUGGGCGCAAGCCUGAUCCAGCCAUACCGCGUGGGUGAAGAAGGCCUUCGGGUUGUAAAGCCCUUUUGUUGGGAAAGAAGAGCAGCAGGUUAAUACCCCGCUGUUCUGACGUUACCCAAAGAAUAAGCACCGGCUAACUUCGUG
rnacentral:rRNA from 1 species